rnacentral:sRNA from 1 species
AAUGUAGCAGAAAUGGCGCAUUAUUCUAGUCAAUAUAGUAUUACGAAGACGAGGGUAAAAUAUCGUUAAAAGGCAUAUCUAUGAAACGUCUUGUGCUUGCUUUAUACGCCCAGUUUAGGGUGAGUGCUGGAUUUGAAGAGGUUAUGGACGAUCGUAACGGCAUACGGCAACCGGCCCAUUUUCUCGUGGAGACCUAAACUUGUAAUUUAUUACGACUUAGGCGUGAACCUACCUUGUGGCUAAAGUUAUGGGUAGAGUAGCCUGGUUUGAGUGGUAAUAGGGGAUAGAGACAGCUUGCUUGAAAGGUGUACAUCUUUUAGUAUAGUAUCGCUCCUUGAAACUAUUGUUGCAAAAAAACACUAGUAAUAUUUCUAUUGCUCGAGGAAAACUCCUAGAAUGUAGAUUGAUAUAGGAUUGUAGUGUGCACUAAGUGGCUAUCAAGUAAUAGUAUUGGAAACAUGCUAUUUAAUUUCUUAAUAGGAAACUACUUAAUUGGUAACGAUUAAGUGAAAUUAAGGGAAAUCCAACUUGACCUAAAGGCACAAGGUUUACUAUAUCAAUGCCAUUUCGUAUUUUU